GAAUCUCAUUACGAUAUCCAAAGACUGGAGCUUACUUCUUUUGCUCAACCAUGGGGAAGCAAAUAGAGCCAUGGGAGCCUAACCACAAUCACCUCUCGUUCCAAACAGAACCUUCCACCUCUAAUAUCAAUUUGUCAGGGAGCUACUUAUGUUUAGAAGAUUACUAGUCUCAACAGAGCAUGACAAGAAAAAAACCAUAGUCAAUGAUUGGUUCUCAUUAUCAAACCCCCGUGCCAUAAUAUAAUUAUAAUCAUCAAAAGCAUCACACAGAUUCACACACUGGUCAGUACUCAUGCAGUGAGAGGAAGACUGGACAAUGGACUCAGUUUUCUGUUUCACUUUCUCUGCCCUUUUCUUUUUUUUUCUUAACCCUUCAAUCUUGUCAUUCAUAUACUUCAAUUCAGAUCCCCAAAAAACUCAGAUCUGCCUCAACGACACAUUUGAAGUUUCCACAUUAAUCUUCUUCUCCGGAUCAACAAUCUUUCUGUUGUAUCAAAAAUUCCGUCCGGCCCGGAAGAGAUGACGCAAACAGGGACACCACACAAUAUUGAAAGUUCAGAGGCUUUCUUCUUCUUCAAAGUAGGCAUUCUCUUGUUCUUCAAAGGGCGGUUGUGUUGGUUGGGACUCGUCAACUGAGAUACUUGUUGAAUUUUAUUUUAUUCCAUUCAUUUUUCUGUUAAUAACAAGCAAGUUGAAAGAUAUUCAUAAGAAAAAUACUAAGAAAUCAACUA